ACGCUCGACACCUACAGGAGGCAGCAGUGGGGGAUAUUGCACAAUGGGGGGAACCCUGAUGCAGCGACGCCGCGUGAGGGAAGAAGGUUUUCGGAUUGUAAACCUCUGUCCUCAGGGAAGAAGAUGACGGUACCUGAGGAGGAAGCCACGGCUAACUACGUACCAGCAGCCGCGGUAAUCUGAGCGGGCUGGCAAGGC
rnacentral:rRNA from 1 species